ensembl:lncRNA
GUUGCAUACAUGGAGAAUGGCUCUAUGCAGCCAAGUAUAGACCCCACCCUUAUCAGCUGAGAGCAGACUCAGGGAGCAUGACGUUUUUGCAGCCAAACAUGACCUGUUAUCCAAUUAGACACACUUAUUGGAUGCCACAUGUAUCUGAUAAUCAAACUGGUGGUGUGGACAGAGAAGAUAAGCAAUGUUUAGGUCAGAUUAGUCCUCACCUGCUUCACUUCCACAGAACUGCCAUCAAAGUGAACCAGCACAGGACUCUCAGAUGACCUGCUACACAGCUUUGUUUUUAAAAUUACAAGGCAAAAGAACAUGGAGCUUAUCACACAUUUGAUUUCCAUGUGUGACAACUGCAAGUGUCCAGAGUGAGGACAGACUGAGGGACCCACUGCUGCACAUAAUCUGUGAGUCUUUGCACCCCUGAUGAUCCACCAGGACAAACUCAGCAGUGUGUGAGGAAGAGGAGGAGGAAGAGCCAGCACCAGCUGACAGAUGGAGAGAAUAGACUCUCAUUCUCUCCAUCUCUCUCCAACAUAGACUGUUCCCUGUUUUUGAAGGACUGCUAGAAAAGUUUAAAAUAACUAAUUGUCUGUCCUGAAUCUGUCUCAUUAGGUAAUGUUCAAAUAAUUAUAUCAGUGUUUUCAGUGUGGGAUAAAGUACUCAGGGCCUUCAAGUUAAACACCUAUGAAAGGCAGUAACAAGUUUAAUAUUCAGAAACCUAAAGUAUGUUUCAUCAGCAGAAUGGACCUAAAAAUAAAUAUCCAUGUUUGUUUCAGUUAUAUGAAGCUUUGAGUAUUUUGGAUUAGUAGUACUGCUGUGUUUGUUGUAUCAUAUUGCUGUAACUGUUUAUAUGCUUUAGAUAUUUUGAGGUAAGUUGAUCUAUAGUGUUACAUCAUAUUCCAUAAGGAUGUUAUGUGUUUGUAUACCUUCUGCCCAGUUUGACCCAUUUAGAGGAAGUCAGCCUGUUUAAGGCUCUGAUAUCUAUUCUGUAUGACUUAAA